CCCUUAGAUGUUCUGGGCUGCACGCGCGCUACACUGAAGCUAUCAACACGUUUUCCCUCCCUGAGAAGGGCGGGUAACCUUUUGAAUCAGCUUCGUGGUAGGGAUCGGGGUUUGCAAUUGUUCCCCGUGAACCAGGAAUUCCUAGUAGACGCGAGUCAUAAGCUCGCAUCGAUUAAGUCCCUGCCCUUUGUACACACCGCCCGUCGCUACUACCGAUUGAACGUUUUAGUGAGGCAUUUGGACCGACGCAUCUCAGUUUAACCGCUGGUUUGUGUUGGAAAGACUUCCAAACUUGAGCGUUUAGAGGAAGUAAAAGUCGUAACA
rnacentral:rRNA from 1 species